rnacentral:rRNA from 1 species
GGGGAGUACGGCCGCAAGGCUAAAACUCAAAGGAAUUGACGGGGGCCCGCACAAGCGGCGGAGCAUGCGGAUUAAUUCGAUGCAACGCGAAGAACCUUACCAAGGCUUGACAUGAACCAGACCGGGCUGGAAACAGUCCUUCCCCUUUGGGGUUGGUUUACAGGUGGUGCAUGGUUGUCGUCAGCUCGUGUCGUGAGAUGUUGGGUUAAGUCCCGCAACGAGCGCAACCCUCGUUCUAUGUUGCCAGCACGUGAUGGUGGGGACUCAUAGGAGACUGCCGGGGUCAACUCGGAGGAAGGUGGGGACGACGUCAAAUCAUCAUGCCCCUUAUGUCUUGGGCUUCACGCAUGCUACAAUGGCCGGUACAAAGGGUUGCGAUACUGUGAGGUGGAGCUAAUCCCAAAAAGCCGGUCUCAGUUCGGAUUGGGGUCUGCAACUCGACCCCAUGAAGUCGGAGUCGCUAGUAAUCGCAGAUCAGCAACGCUGCGGUGAAUACGUUCCCGGGCCUUGUACACACCGCCCGUCAAGUCACGAAAGUUGGUAACACCCGAAGCCGGUGGCCUAACCCCUUUGUGGGAGGGAGCUGUCGAAGGUGGGACUGGCGAUUGGGACUAAGUCGUAACAAGGUAGCCGUACCGGAAGGUG